rnacentral:rRNA from 1 species
AUUGAACGCUGGCGGCAGGCCUAACACAUGCAAGUCGAGCGAGUGGCGGACGGGGGAGUAAUGUUUGGGGACAGCCUGCUAGCGGGGGAUAACUACUCGAAACGGUGGCGAAUUCAGACCACUUUCGGAUAACCCAUAUGGGAUUAGCUAGUGGUUGGGGUGAAGGCUCACCUAGGCGACGAUCCCUAGCUGGUCUGAGAGGAUGAUGAGCUGCACUGGCACAGAGACACGGCGCCACGGCCUACGUAGGCAGCGGUGGGGAAGAUUGGGCAAUGGGCGCAAGCGUGAUGGAGCCAUGCCGCGUGUAUGAAGAAGGCCUGAGGGUUGUAAAGUACUUACAGCGGGGAGGCGUUACCCGGAGAAGAAGCGCCGGCUAACUCCGUGCCAGCAGCCGCGGUAAUUC